AGGCUCUAGUUGACAUGACUCUAACUUCAAACUUUAGAUUGGAGUUGAGUGGAGAGCUUGCUAAGAACGUGUUUGGUAUAGCUCCAAAGCAAAACUAUAAGGAGUAGCUAAUCAAAGCUCGCUAAAUACCCUAACUCUAAAGUUGCAAACUCAGUUUUCAGAGCCGUAUUACAAAUUUUUGGAGUACCUCUUUUACUGCUCCGAAAACUCUAACCGUGUGUUUUUGGUUUCCUGCGUUUGCCGAGUUCCUGCAGCCGCGGAUUCCCAACGCACCUCUUAUUUGUUUUCCUGCAUAACGCAACCGAGCUUCAGACAUGCAAAAAUCAUUUCUUAGCCAGAGCGUAGCUGGUGGAGCAGGCAGCGUGCAUAUAGACCAAGCAGGCUUCGUGCAUACAACCUUGAGUUUGCAGAUGAAGUUAUGAUGCUGAGCUCCAUGGAUGCUAGUCUAGUGAUACCCCGGUCAUCUUCCUGUGGAUGGAUGUCCUUGUUUCGCUGUACUUUGAUGAAUAAAGGUUAAGACAUAUUGUCUGUUCGAAGUGUAAUAUGUUAAUAUAAUCGUUAUUUACGCU
rnacentral:lncRNA from 7 species